CUUCUUUUUCUCUGUCGCCUCUCUCUCUUUUAGCAGAAGAGUGGACGAUGAUGUUUUGGGAUUGAGCUUCACCAAGGAGAAAGCAAAGGCAGCAAAGCAUUUUUUAUGAUGAUGAUAAAGGAGAUUUCUUGAUAUUUUGAUCUGGAGCUUGGGAAAAUCAAGACUAAAUGUUUUGCUGCAAGAGAGUGUAAUGGUGGACGACAUGAAUGGCACAACAGGGAGCCAUUGAGCCAGUUCAACGUUGGGGACUGAUUGAGUGAAGCAACAACGGUAAAUAAUCGACUUAUGGAACUUUCAUGUGAAAGCUAAUUUCUUCCACGGAUCAAGGGAGUUUGUGUUAAAUGCAUUUUUAGAAUUCCGUAUUUUGUAGUUGGGGCACAUGUAUAUGUCAUAUGUUGUGACAUUUUGAUUUAUCUAUAAGUUGCAGAGAGAAUGUUGUGGCUGGUGAUUUUACUGCUGAUAUGGGUCCCAGAUUUCUUCAUCUCCUUCUGUGAGAAACUGAAUAAAUCUUCCCCUACGAAGUGUUUGGCUAAGACACCAAAGAAAAAUAACAAAUCACUAUGAUCCCACAGUUAUUGGAUAGAGGACUUUCAUAGGACAUGGAAAAUGGCGUUGUAAGCAUUAACUGGAACAGAAAAAAAAAUAGAGAGAAACAGAGAAAAACUGUGUUGUGUAUAUAAGUUAAUAUCGAGACAAACUGUGUUGUGUAUAUAUGGUAUAUGAUAAUAUAAUCGGUGGGAAGCUGAAGCUAUUUUGGGUGUGAAAGCAUGUGAAAUAAAGAAGAGAAUAAACAUAAGAAACAUGAAGAACAAGCUCUUCAAGGUACUGAUCAUGAACUCAUAAAAGGUAAGACACCACUGCUUCAUUCUCAUAAACAUGACUUAUGUAUAAUAUUAUCCAUUUGAAGUACAUCCUCCUGAAAAUCUGUUUGUGUUUAAGCUUAUAACUUAAAAGAAUUUUAAAAACGGUUCAAUGAACCUUUGUUUUCUUAUAUAAGCCUUUUUAGGUUUUCAAGGGUAAACUAAUGAAAGUGUUACAGUUGGUCGAGUGUUUAGAGUGGAAGACUCAUAAUAAGAUUGACAAGAAACCAAGAGUCAAGUCAUUGUACAUGAAAGAGAUUUUGAAGAGAUUUAACACAACAUCUAAAGAAAUUCUUCAAACAUCACGGGAAAACUAUACGAGUUUGUGCACUACGCAUACAUAGAGGACAAGCGUCAUAAGAGCCAUGGGUUGCAACAAAAGAUGUGUGAUCGGUGGUAUGCUUCAUUUGAGUAAUCAUUUAUUUGUAUAUUCUCUUUCAUCAGAUUUUUUUUCUUUGUAUUCUUUUUCUAACUAACAGUAUCAAGAAUCAAGGUUUUGAUGGAAUAUGUUUCUAAUCUGAAUCAGUACAUCAUUUGUUUCUA